GCUGCUGGUGUCCGUCCUCAUAGUGACCAUCGGGCUGGCUGCCACCACCAGGACGGAGAAUGUGACCGUGGGGGGCUACUACCCAGGGAUCAUUCUCGGCUUCGGAUCUUUCUUAGGAAUUAUUGGCAUCAACUUGGUGGAGAAUAGAAGGCAAAUGACUAAGAGGAGAGGUAAAGACAUAAAACCAGGAGGGAGCCCCUGGUUCACACGGCAGCAACGCAGAGUGAAAUCUAGACACUGCCUGUCCAUGAUGUUUGUGGCUGUAUGCGCGGCAACAGCGAUCAGGUUCAGCUGGAAGUCUGUUUUGUUGAUGCACUGUUUUGGGGACUGUAACUUUAAAAACAAAAACUGGCUAAUUUUGUCAGUUCAUGGUGGCAGCC
rnacentral:sRNA from 1 species